UUAGCCGCAGUUUGGCUGGGGGUCCGUACUACAUGUAUAAAAAGGUAUAAAAAAAAUCUGGUCUUUCAGCCGCAGUUUGGCUGGGGGUCCGUACUAUGUAUAAAAAGGUAUAAAAUAAUCUGGUCUCUUAGCCGCAGGUUGGCUGGGGGUCCAUACUCUCAACGUAAAACAUGUGUAAAAAGGUAUAAAAAAAAUCUGGUCUUUCAGCCGCAGUUUGGCUGGGGGUCCGUACUACAUGUAUAAAAAGGUAUAAAACAAUCUGGUCUCUUAGCCGCAGGUUGGCUGGAGGUCCGUACUACAUGUAUAAAAAGGUAUUAAAAAAAUCUGGUCUUUCAGCCGCAGUUUGGCUGGGGGUCCGUACUACAUGUAUAAAAAGGUAUAAAAUAAUCUGGUCUCUUAGCCGCAGGUUGGCUGGGGGUCCAUACUCUCAACGUAAAACAUGUGUAAAAAGGUAUAAAAAAAUCUGGUCUGUCAGCCGCAGAUUGACAGGGGUCCGUACUCGCAACAUAUAAACGUGUAAAAAGGUAUAAAAAAAUCUGGUCUUUCAGCCGCAGUUUGGCUGGGGGUCCAUACUACAUGUAUUAAAAGGUAUAAAAUAAUCUGGUCUCUUAGCCGCAGGUUGGCUGAGGGUCCUUACUCUCAACAUAAAAACAUGU